UGCCAUGCCAUGGAGGACAUUGGUGGAGCUUGAUUUUUAUCUUCAGCUAAACAUGGGUGUUCAUAUCAGAGAAUUGUUAAAAGGAGAUUCUGAGAGCCUGCUUAAACUUCUUACUGACGAGGCCUUACUGGACGGUCCUGGAUUCCAUGUUAUGUUCAACUGUAUAAAAAGGACGAAGAUGCAUUUUUCAGAGAUUAUGCUGAAUCAAAUAUGAAACUUUUUUGUGCCAACCGCACUUGCUCAAGUUGCUCUGGUAUAGCAGUUUCGGCUGCUGUGGCGAUCCCGGCUUUCUUGUAUGAAGUUUGCAUAAGAACGAACUAGGCUUGGCUAUUUGAACUACGUUUGUAAGCGUGGCCACAAUGUUUUUGCAAUUAUUCAAGUAACAGCAUACUUAUUGUCAGGGGCCCUGAAAAUAGUGCAACAGCUUUUCUGAGUAUAUCAAUAGACAAUAAAUACUACUACCAGC